UUUUUUUUUAGUAAAGAUUAUUCUGUGCCUACCUAGAUAAUCUUUAUAAUUUAAACUCAGAUGGCCUUUCUUGUGGAGUUUCCAUCAUGGCACAGCGGAAACAAACCCAACUAGGAACCAUGAGGUUGUGGGUUCAUCCCUGGCCUUGCUCAGUGGGCUAAGGAUCCGGUGUUGCUGUGAGCUGUGGUGUAGGCCGGCAGCUCUAGAUCUGGUUAAACCCCCAGCCUGGGAAAUUCCGUAUGCCUUCCGUAUGCCUUCCGUGGCCCUAAAAAGACAAAAGACCAAAAAAAAUUAAAAGUUAAAAAAUAAAGUCAGAUGAUUAGCGGUUUUAAUUUCAUCUGUAAUUUUUUUUUUUUUUUUUUUUUGGCUAUGCCCUUUACAUAUGGAAGUUCAUGGGCCAGGUGUCAAACCAGCACCACGGCAGUGCUGUGCCACACGGGAACUCCUCUUUUUUAAAAAAUUACUUAAGCCAGUCUAAUUCACCUUUUGUUUCUUUCUGUUUCAAAAGGACCUAUAUACAAAUGCCAUCUCUGGUGCACUGAUGACGACUACCUACCUGAAGAACUACACUGAGGAGAACCCUGAGGGCCUCACCUGGGCUCAGGACUCAUGAGGCAGAUAUGCCAGGAGGGAGAAGAAGAAGGUGCAUCCUUUUGACUAAGAUGAAACCCCUGACUCAAUCUUCUGCCUCGCUCUGGACUGGCCAGCGCUUCAUUUUUUUUCCAAGGCUUGCUUGGUCUUUCAGGUUGGUAUAUAGGCUGGAAUUUGUCAGCUUGUGUCCUCAAGAAAGAUAAAUUUCCACAUUUGCUUAGAGGUUUAGUGGGUGUUCCCGCCCUCAAAGCAACUGUACCUGGUGCCACAGGUAAACUUCUUCCUAAGUACCCGUCCUCAAAAAGCUUAGACGCUAAAGGGAAAACUGCUCCCUGCACGACCUGGCAUGCCACGUGUUCCACUCGCUUCUCUGACCUCGAACAGUGUGUAAUCUGAAACUGGUCAAAAAAAGCAAUGAUGCUAAAAGCACAAUACAUUACAAAGGUAGCAUUUAAAAGUUUACAAAACAGGAGUUCCUCGGCAGGUUAAGGACCCAGUGUUGUCUUUGUAAGGAUGCAGGUUGGAUCCCUGGCCUGGCUCAGUGGGUUAAUGACCUAGUGUUGCUGUGGCUGAGGCACAGGCGGCAGCUACAGCUCCAAUAUGACCACUGGCCCAAAACUUCCCUAUGCCACAGAUGCACCCAUAAAAAGAAAAAAAAAUUACCAAACAAGGAUAAGGUGAGUCCUGGAGACAGAAGCAAUGAAAGGUUACUCAUAGAUUAUUUCUAAAUGGUUUUCAUGGUCCCCCCAACUUGGGCAAGCUGAUCUGGUUAACUGAGAUUCUCCCUGAUGGAACUAUGAUUGAUUCUGACCCCAUCUGAUAUCCUAAAAAAACAGACACUGUGCAGAGUUCCCGUCGUGGCACAGUGGUUAACGAAUCCAACUAGGAACCAUGAGCCAUGACGGGAACUCCCAUCAUGUUUAAAUAUCAUAUUUUAGAUCUAAAAUGUUAGAAAUAAAGAUAGAAGAAAUCACCUAUUUAAAAAUCUUUCCAUAGAUAAAGAAUUUACAAUAGGUAUGAAUUUGCAUAAGAAAAUUUUUGCAAUCCCAAAUGAAAAUAAAACAGAAGAUUAAGAAAACAGAUAAGGGCUCCUAAAUAUUGUGAGUCAGUUUAAAAAACCUGUUUCUAACACUGUUUAUGCAUCAGAGUGAAAGCGUCUCAACAGGAGAAUGGGCUUCUCCUGGCUAUUUGCUUCAUAAGACACACUGGAGCCCAAAGGCUUUCCCACCAGCCUCCCGUGAUGUCAAAAGAGGGUCGUUCCCUCACGUGUGUCUGCAGCUGCCACACGCCACAGGCGCCACGCCGAGUGGGACCCACACGGCUCCAUCCCCCCGGCCGCCUCACUUCUCAGGGGCCCAUGGUCCUCUACUCCUGGCUCAGGAGCCUUUCGCAAGUUCACCCCGCUCCUUAUCUGCAGUCUUUAAAAUCUAAUUUCUAAUUUGUUUUGACCUAGCCUCUACCUUUCCAUGUCUCCUUUCCUUUUCCAUCUGGGGCAGACAGCUUAACAUUUCUUUCAGACUGUGAUCAGUGAUAACCUCCAGGUUUUCCUCACGACCUCCUAGAAGAUCGGCUCUCGAGUCCUGCUCUGGAGUGAUCUGAGACCCACCAGCAUCACUCUACUGAUUUCAGGCCAACAUUCCAGGCUGCUGAACAAGUCUUAACCUUGUUUCUACUUAUGAUCACAUUAGUGACGGCACCUGUCCCAGAGAUGGAUCACCUGACACAGAUGCACAACACGGUACAACAGGUUUACAUGCUAGUUUCAGAACCAGAGAGACCUGAGUUCAAACCUCACUUCAACCCCUGACAUACUCCCUGUGGACUCAGGCCAUUUCCACUCUCUAACCCUCAAUGGAGACAUAACAACAACAGCGUUUUCCUCGUGUUGUGGAGUCCACGACAGUUUCCUCCAAGAGGUUUUUCUCGGGGUCUAGUGCAUGAUACUCAUCCAACAAUGUCAACCAUUAUUUUGACACUGAAAUGUACACAUUCUCUGGUCUCAGUAAAGUUGUCCAUCAAAUGAUAUAUAAGAAAGAAUAAAAGCCAGAGCCCUCUUGUGCUUUUUGAGAAGCCCCCUCCAGGUCAGUGCUUUUCAACCUGCAGGUUAGUGUAUAUAGAAAUCAGUUUAGCAGGUAAUAAACUGGGUAUUUUUUAAUUAGAACACAAUGUUUUCAAAAGUGAAUAUAAUGGAAUAGAAUAGAUCAAAGUGCAUGUCAUAUUGUAAGCACUAAAUGGUGUUCUGUCAAACAUGUAUGUCUGUGCAUAUGCAUACUGAGAAACAACAUAAAGUGCACUUCUUACUGUGUGUCACAGCCUAAAAAAGAAGUUUUGAAAGCCACUGUUCUAGGCUGAUCCAAAGCUCCUUAGGUACACUCUUCAGUAACGACAGACCAUUUAGGAGAGACACUGCUGCCCCCUGCUGGAACCCUUGACUCCUCGUGGAAAAGGACACCGGUAGGAGGACAGAGACUUUGCUUCUUGCCCCUGUGACCUCAGCCAUCCUCCUGUACCCCAUCUGGAAGCCCACCUGGGAGGACACACCCCUCGGGCUACCCUGAUGCCCUCAGCAACGAACGCGUCAAAGGCAGCACUCGAAGUGAGAGCCCACGUUCUCACCUUGAAAGUAAUCUUGGAGGCUGAGCCACACAUGCUACUGUGGUCCCACCUCGGCCCCAUCACACCUCACAGCUGCGAAGGGCCUCCCCAGCCCCUAAGCAGCCAUGGGUCUCUGCUCCUCUGGGCACCCUUGGAGGAAGGUGAACUGACUGCAUGUUCUCCGAGCUGGGACCACCAGCAGCCCCCACCCUCUACAUGCCCCCUGAUUUCUAAGAUAAGUGCCUAGCAGGGCGGACCAGCAGGGUACAGCCUCAGAAAGAUAAGACUGUCCCACCCGACCAAGAGGGAGGCCUCACUAAGAGGUCAACGCUCUGAGAGAAGAGCACUCCUGACACACACCCCUGUCUUAAGAUGUGGAGCCUAGAACCAGACAAACUUGCCAAGAAUCUACUUAGUCCUGCUUCAGGAUGAAGGCUGCUAGAAAUUGAAGGCUCACACCUAGCCGCCCACGCCCAAGGCCUCAAGUAAAACUUGAGCAUAGUCUAACUGGAGGCUGACAUGCGUACAGUAACUUGCCCAGAGUCACUCGGCUCAUUUCAGGCCCAGGUGCCCCUGAAUGUGGGCCCAGAGGUCCCAGCUGCCACUUUAAGGCUGGCUGUACUUCUGAACUUAAAGGCUUACACCAAGAAAGAAAGAACACAUGACUCAGCUGCAAAGUGGCAAAUAAAACCUAGUACAAAAAAGACUUUAAAUCUGAACUUUAAAAUAAAUAAUGGGUGGCAUCACAGUAGGCAUUUUUAGAACAUGAACCAUGUUAUUAAUUUACUUUCAAAACAGCCUCAUUUGUUUUGAGUCUCGAAACAGGCCUUUUUUCCCCCUUGGGUAAAGGCCUUUCCCCAAAGACAGAUAUGCUUCAGCCAUUUCCUCAUCUAUGAAAUGAAGAAGGAAGACAAAUCUAUCAGAGCAUAUAGAGUUUACACUUAGUGCCAGGCGCUAAGUUGCUCUGUACUUUCACGUGUGUUUAACAACACUGGGCUCAGAGAAGUCAGCAUUUUGCUGAAGGUCACACAGCUAGUCAGAGACAGAUUCUAACCCAAGUACGCCUGACUCCCUUGCCCUCGCUGGGGGAGCACACGGCUCAGCCCCUUGAAUGUCUCCUCCCUCCCUCUCCCUUGUCCACACAUCUCAAUGGGAGCAAUUACCAACAGGGAAGGAACUCAAGAUCCCAAACUUUGGGGAAAGGCUGACAAACUACCGCAGCAGAGGUGACGAGGGAAACGUGACAGCUGCGUGCCAGGUGGUGACCUGAGACCUUGGACCAAGAGAGGACUAGAGGACAAGCUGGUGAGAUCCAAAUGACAAGCUCGAAUGUGCUGCUGCACACAGUAGGCAGGUCCUAAUCGGGCCCUGCAGUCCAUUCUCAGGCUGCUUCUAGAUUCAUCUCCCAAAGCACACAUCUGAGUGCAGCUCUCUUGCUUCUAACCUUUCCUGGCUCCCCCUCGUCCUCGAGAUCUGCCUCCAGCUCCCCUUCCCAGAGACUUUUCUGGCUUCCCCUCCCUACCUCCCUGACCCUGCCCCAGCUUUGCUCAAGUCACUACUCUUCCCAGAAAGCACCCCGGGCCUUUCCUGCCACAUGCUCCGUCUGUCAGCCCUCAGGCUGCAGCACAGACUCUCAGAAUUCAGCUUCAACGUCGCUUCCUGCAGGGUGUCCUCCCUGACACCCUCGCUCCCUCUCCCCAAGUUUUCCCUGUGCCCUGUAAGCAGCUCCCAUCGCCGUGCUUCCGUCCUGGACCAUAUUCACAUCUGCCCCUCCUCUGUAUGCAACCCAGUCCCGGCUUCCUCGGAGUGAAAGCUGUGCGCGCAGACACGGCACCAGGCAGCACCGACCCCACUGUGAGGUCAGGGGUUCCGAAGGCCUCCUGUCCUCCCUAACUUCUCGGGAACCGUGUUAGUUUGUCUUGAACACUCCCUGGGAACUCCUUUCUUCCCUUUCGAAUAAGGCCAGAGGAAGACUCGGCUGGGCAUCUGUCAUAAGCAACAGGAUCUAGCUUGAAUUUAGCGCACUAUUUUGUUUUCACUGUAUUUUUACUUAUGAAAUUCUAUUUACAGAAAGCAGUACAAGUUCUUCUUCUACCCAGACUAGCAUUCUUCAUAAAAUUAUAUGAAUAAAGGAAGUGAAUCCACUUAGAAAAAACUGGUAAGUAAUUGUUUGGGUGGCACAUGUGACAAAAGCAUGUGCACACGCACACAUGGGCACAGCUAUGAAAGCCGUCCUGAGCAAAACAUCUCUGCGGCUGAGUCCCUGGGUCAUGAGACCCAGGGUGCUGCUGCCGUUACCACAACUACACGUGUGGCUGGGAGAAAACUACUGCUCUGGUCUUCUGUGUACUCACCUGUAAAAAGAAGAGGAAAAAACUGGGCCAUAAAAAUAUAUGACUUCAUCUCCCAGAUACAAAUCUCUCUUCCUACUCAUAUGGCAUGGAAAUAACAUUGCUGAAAAGAAACUCAGAGGUCAUAGCUUUAUAUUAGAGAUCAGAUCCAUAGUGUAUAGAGAUUGAAGUGAUAGGCCCAGGUCACGUCACGAUUUAAGGUCAAAUCCAAGACCGAAAUCGAGGUCUCCCCCCCCCCGCCCCCACGCUGAUGGGCUAUUUCUCCCUCAUUUCUGAAACUCCCCUCCCCAUGUACUUUUCCCCCAGGUGAACUUCUGACACAAGGGUUAGAUUUUACUUUCAAAGCACAAGCAAGUACACACACACAAUAAAGACAUCUUAAAAUAAUGGAAAAGCAAAUAAGCAAAGGAUAAAGGCAAUAUUAGAUUUCCAAGUGUUCACAUGGUUGGAAAAGGAAGUAAAAUACCUGAAAGCUGAGAAAACAUGUUACAGGUGUUUCCACAAUGUUGUAAUUCCCGCCUUGUUCUUCACUGAGAUUAGGUGAUAGAUUAGAUGCAAGGAGCCGGGAGUGGGCAGGCCACUGAGUUUCGGGGGAGUCCCUGACCCAUCUUUGUCUCCUCCCUGUGUAUAAUAAAACCUGCUUUACAAGAGACCAGAUCCAAAUAGCACUUCACUCACUCUCUGUGGAUCAUGAAAAAUGGGAUCCACACAAUUCCGGGGGGAAUACUUCAUCACAUUUUUAAAACAGGAUUUUCAGACACUUUUAAAGACUACUUUAGUAGAGUCUUUGCAUAUGGGAUGUAGUCAUUGCAAUGAUACAGUACAAGGUUUUUCUCAUUUUAAAAAAAGUCUUAUCCUUUUUUUUUGGAAAUGUACUGAACAUUUUUAUAUCUGACUUCGUUAAAGGCAAAAUUACCAGCUUUACAAAUGAACCAAUGCACACAGAAUCAGAAAAUUGUAACCAAGUUUCCCAGUGAAUGUAAAAUGGGUAGAUACAAUACCCUUCACAUAUACACAUGCAUGUGUGUGUUUGUAGGCAUUGUUGUAUAUUUAUGUAUAUACAGGUGUAGGUAUUUAUGUAACUGUACGUACAUGUGUAGCAAUUGGCCAAAGAGAAACUCAUGCGAGAAGAAACUUCAACUCAAAGCUCAAAGUGAGCCAAAGGUAAGAGGUAGCUGUCGGGAAAAAUAAGAAUCUUAAUGCAAUAUUAAAAUACAUUAAAUCCCAUUAAGUACAAAAAUGACCCACUGUACUCUCCACCCACCAGCCAAUACCAGCUGCAGGAACCACACUAACAGAGGCAUAGGAACUGGCAUGUGGUCAGAAGAGAGUUCUAGGUCAGCGGGGAAAGGGAGAGCCGGGGUGGUUCAUAGCAUGAGUCCCAGGGCCGAGCACGCCUUACUCAAAUACAAGAUGUGUGACUAUCCUGGAGCACAGGGGCCC
ensembl:lncRNA